rnacentral:ncRNA from 2 species
AACCGCCGUAUGCGUCCCCUCACGUACGGUGGUGUGAGGGGACGGAGGCUAGCCGCCUUCUCCUACUCGAU